UUGCUAAUACAAUUGCAUUUAAUCACAAAGGACUAAGCAAGAGCAGAGGCUGCCCUUCCCUUGAGGACUACAUCUGCAGUGUUGGGGUUGCUUACUUGCUGGAAUAACCUUUAGAGCUUCUAAAAAGCAAUUGAUAUUGGGACAUUGAUCGAACGCCACUGGAAAGGUUGAUGGACAUAAUUUUGGUGCUUGCCCUAAAAUUACAAGAACAUAUAAAUAUACUAAAAUAUCAGCAACAACAAUAUACCCAGUAAGUUUCCACAAGUGGUGUCUGGGGAGAGUAAAGUGUACGCAUACCUUACCACUACCUCAUAGAAGUAGAGAGAUUGUUUCCACAAGACCCUCAACCCAAAUUAACUAGUAUACCAUGAAGGAAAAAAUUCAUUAAGUAAAGAAAUUCAUACCAAGAGAAGGAGUUGAUAUGCUCAAUAGAAGAGCAAAACAAAGUAGCGAUAAACCAACAAAAUUCUUCAUUAUUUCUUGAGAAUUAAUUCACACUUCUAUAUAGUGGUUGAAAU
rnacentral:lncRNA from 1 species